CACGUAGGGGGCAAGCGUUGUCCGGAUUUAUUGGGCGUAAAGAGCUCGUAGGUGGUUCGGUAAGUCGGGUGUUAAACCCCCAGGCUCAACCUGGGGACGCCACUCGAUACUGCUGUGACUAGAGUCCGGUAGGGGAGCGUGGAAUUCCUGGUGUAGCGGUGAAAUGCGUAGAGAUCGGGAGGAACACCCGUGGCGAAGGCGGCCAUCUGGACCAGCACUGACGCUGAGGCACGAAAGCGUGGGGAGCAAACAGG
rnacentral:rRNA from 1 species